rnacentral:rRNA from 1 species
UGAGGAAUUAUGCGCAAUGGACGAAAGUCUGACGCUGCGACGUCGCGUGGGUGAUGAAGGUCUUCGGAUCGCAAAACCCUGUCGAGAGGGAAGAAAGAGCGGGCGCUAAUAUCGCCUACUUCUGACGGUACCUCUGGAGGAAGCCCCGGCUAACUCUGUGCCAGCAGCCGCGGUAAUACAGAGGGGGCAAGCGUUGUUCGGAAUUACUGGGCGUAAAGCGCGUGUAGGCGGAUUUGUAAGUUGGGGGUGAAAUCCCGAGGCUCAACCUCGGAACUGCCUCCAAAACUACAAGUCUGGACCUAAGUAGAGGCAAGUGGAAUUGCGAGUGUAGAGGUGAAAUUCGUAGAUAUUCGCAGGAACACCAGUGGCGAAGGCGACUUGCUGGACUUAUGGUGACGCUGAGACGCGAAAGCGUGGGGAGCAAACAGGAUUAGAUACCCCAGUAGUCCCUGAGCGGGCUGGCAAGGCGCAU